CAAACGAAAGCCAUCUUGACCAGGAAGCUCUGUCUCCCUCAUUCCUCCGCAGACCUCAUUCAGUGACUUACCAACAGGCGCCGGAUCUAAGAUGCUAAGAACUUCUCUGCCUAGGGUGGGAAUGUGCUGCUGCUAAGACCCAAGAACCCUAAGCCCCACCCCCUGAACUUCUUGCUAUUUCCCAGAUACUUGAAACAGAUAUCUAUAUGGUUUAUCGCAUUAUUUUUUUCCAAAUAUUUGCUUCCUCUCUCUGAAGAAGGAUUAUACUUCUUUGCACCAAUAAAUGUCAAAUUUUGUCUUAUAACUUGCAUUGGUCAGUGAACUGUGAGCAGAAGCAACACAGGCCACUUUCAAUCAGAAGCUUUAAGACCCAUCAUGUGGUUCCACCCACUUGUUCUUUCCUCUACUGCAAGAUUAGCACAUCCCAGAAAUGGCUUAUUCCUUUACCUGGGUCCUGGAAUAAAGAAAACAUAGA